GCCUGUUGCGGGGCUAUCAUAUGUACGUGGCCGUCAAUAGCCGCCGGAGUCAGAAUCAAGUGUUCACCGGAAAUAGCAUCGGUAGCAGCCCCUGUAACCAAUUCAGGAGUCACUCCCCGCAUAAUAUUCGGGUUGCCCGCCUUUCCCACACCUGCAAUUUUCCCGUCUUUAAUCCCCACAUCGGCUUUUAUCACCCCUAAUGUUGGGUCAAUGAUAGUUACAUUGGUAAUCACCAAAUCCAGCGUACCUCCUUCAGAAGUCAUUGUGUUUGCCAACCCCAUGCCAUCACGU
rnacentral:sRNA from 1 species